AACGAACGCUGGCGGCAUGCCUAACACAUGCAAGUCGAACGAGACCUUCGGGUCUAGUGGCGCACGGGUGCGUAACGCGUGGGAAUCUGCCCUUGGGUUCGGGAUAACAGUUGGAAACGACUGCUAAUACCGAAUGAUGUCUUCGGACCAAAGAUUUAUCGCCCAGGGAUGAGCCCGCGUCGGAUUAGCUAGUUGGUGAGGUAAAGGCUCACCAAGGCGACGAUCCGUAGCUGGUCUGAGAGGAUGACCAGCCACACUGGGACUGAGACACGGCCCAGACUCCUACGGGAGGCAGCAGUGGGGAAUAUUGGACAAUGGGCGAAAGCCUGAUCCAGCAAUGCCGCGUGAGUGAUGAAGGCCUUAGGGUUGUAAAGCUCUUUUACCCGGGAUGAUAAUGACAGUACCGGGAGAAUAAGCCCCGGCUAACUCCGUGCCAGCCGCCGCGGUAAUAC
rnacentral:rRNA from 1 species